UACGGGGGGGGCAAGCGUUGUUCGGUAUUACUGGGCGUAAAGGGCUCGUAGGCGGCCAACUAAGUCAGACGUGAAAUCCCUCGGCUUAACCGGGGAACUGCAUCUGAUACUGGAUGGCUUGAGAUUGGGAGAGGGAUGCGGAAUUCCAGGUGUAGCGGUGAAAUGCGUAGAUAUCUGGAGGAACACCGGUGGCGAAGGCGGCAUCCUGGACCAACACUGACGCUGAGGAGCGAAAGCCAGGGGAGCAAACGGG
rnacentral:rRNA from 1 species